rnacentral:rRNA from 1 species
UUGAAAUACCACCCUUUAAUGUUUGAUGUUCUAACGUUGGCCCCUGAUCGGGGUUGCGGACAGUGUCUGGUGGGUAGUUUGACUGGGGCGGUCUCCUCCUAAAGAGUAACGGAGGAGCACGAAGGUUGGCUAAUCCUGGUCGGACAUCAGGAGGUUAGUGCAAUGGCAUAAGCCAGCUUGACUGCGAGCGUGACGGCGCGAGCAGGUGCGAAAGCAGGUCAUAGUGAUCCGGUGGUUCUGAAUGGAAGGGCCAUCGCUCAACGGAUAAAAGGUACUCCGGGGAUAACAGGCUGAUACCGCCCAAGAGUUCAUAUCGACGGCGGUGUUUGGCACCUCGAUGUCGGCUCAUCACAUCCUGGGGCUGAAGUAGGUCCCAAGGGUAUGGCUGUUCGCCAUUUAAAGUGGUACGCGAGCUGGGUUUAGAACGUCGUGAGACAGUUCGGUCCCUAUCUGCCGUGGGCGCUGGAGAACUGAGGGGGGCUGCUCCUAGUACGAGAGGACCGGAGUGGACGCAUCACUGGUGUUCGGGUUGUCAUGCCAAUGGCACUGCCCGGUAGCUAAAUGCGGAAGAGAUAAGUGCUGAAAGCAUCUAAGCACGAAACUUGCCCC